rnacentral:lncRNA from 1 species
UUCCCCGGGGCCGUGCCCCGAGCCCACGUCCUUCGCCCUCAUGAAGCCGAGGAGGGUCAUUAGGCAGCUCCUUGAUUACGGGGCUUGGGGAGGGCUGUAGCGAUUACCUGGGGACCGGAGCGCAGAUGAAAGGGACUCAGGCGGCUGUGGAGCGUUCCCCCCUGCAAACCUCGGGUUCCGACCCCCCUUCCUCGGGACGCCCAUAAUCCACUCUGGGCUAAAGGCGGGCGAUUCUUCUCCGCACCAGGAAACACGGUGUUUAAAUGUGGGAACCACAGCUUAGAGGGAACAGAGCCCGGCCUGACUCACUGGCUUCCCACACGAGGAAACUCGGCCCGGGAGGGCAGAGAAUCCUGGCGAGAUCCGAGCCCCGAAUCAGCGCUCGGACAACGAAGGAAAGUGGGGGCGUGGUGACCCAGUCAGGAAGUGGCUGAGGCAGGAUUCGAACCCGCUCCUCCCAACCCUGAGUCCGGAGCUCUGGUACUGCCCUGCUGCUAAUGCCCAAGCUUCAGCCUCAUCCCACCAAACCGCGGCCACUUCCAUCUUGGGGGACUCUUGUCCACGUGUUCCUUGGAGGCGGGGGGGGGGGGGGGGGUGGUCUGCCUGCCCCAGGUCGGGAGGGGGGACGGAGACGCUGAUGUCAAAAUUCAAACCCUUUACAAG